rnacentral:rRNA from 1 species
AACGAACGCUGGCGGCAUGCCUAACACAUGCAAGUCGAACGAGACCUUCGGGUCUAGUGGCGCACGGGUGCGUAACGCGUGGGAACCUGCCCUUAGGUUCGGAAUAACUCCCCGAAAGGGGUGCUAAUACCGGAUAAUGUCUUCGGACCAAAGAUUUAUCGCCUUUGGAUGGGCCCGCGUUGGAUUAGCUAGUUGGUAGGGUAAAAGCCUACCAAGGCGACGAUCCAUAGCUGGUCUGAGAGGAUGAUCAGCCACCCUGGGACUGAGACACGGCCCAGACUCCUACGGGAGGCAGCAGUGGGGAAUAUUGGACAAUGGGCGAAAGCCUGAUCCAGCAAUGCCGCGUGAGCGAUGAAGGCCUUAGGGUUGUAAAGCUCUUUUACCCGGGAUGAUAAUGACAGUACCGGGAGAAUAAGCUCCGGCUAACUCCGUG